rnacentral:rRNA from 1 species
CUACGGGGUGCUGCAGUUAGGAAUAAUCUACAAUGCGCGCAAGCGUGAUAGUUUGAGCCAGAGUGUUUGUCAUUCGACAAACUUUUAUGGAAUGUAAAAAGUUCUCAUGAAUAAGGACUGGGUAAGACUAGUGCCAGCCGCCGCGGUAAUACUAGCGGUCCAAGUCGCAGCCAUUUUUAUUGGGUCUAAAACAUCCGUAGCUUGCUUGAUAAGUUUCUUGUGAAAUUUUAUGUCUCAAACAUGAAGCGUGCAAGAAGUACUGUCGAGCUAGAGACUGGUAGACGUAAGAAGUAUGUUCAGAGUAGCGGUAAAAUGUGUUAAUCCUGGACAGACUCACGAUAGCGAAGGCAUCUUACGAGGACAGUUCUGACAGUAAGGGAUGAAGGCUAGGGACGCAAAACGGAUUAGAUACCCCGGUAGUC